rnacentral:rRNA from 1 species
AUUGAACGCUGGCGGCAUGCCUUACACAUGCAAGUCGAACGGCAGCACGGGUGCUUGCACCUGGUGGCGAGUGGCGAACGGGUGAGUAAUACAUCGGAACAUGUCCUGUAGUGGGGGAUAGCCCGGCGAAAGCCGGGUUAAUACCGCAUACGAUCUACGGAUGAAAGCGGGGGGCCUUCGAGCCUCGCGCUAUAGGGUUGGCAGAUGGCUGUUUGGCUAGUUGGGGGGGUAAAGGCCUAGCAAGGCGACGAUCAGUAGCUGGUCUGAGAGGACGACAAGCCACAUGGGGACGUAGACACGGCCCAGACUCCUACGGGAGGCAGCAGUGGGGAAUGUUGGACAAAGGGCGAAAGCCUGAUCCAGCAAUGGCGCGUGUGUGAAGAAGGCCUUCGGGUUGUAAAGCACUUUUGUGCGGAAAGAAAUCCUUGGGCCUAAUACGGUCGGGGGAUGACGGUACCGGAAGAAUAAGCACCGGCUAACUACGUG